CCGAGUUAUCAACUCCCAAACCCCUGUGAACAUACCUGAACGUUGCUUCGGCGGGACCGCCCCGGCGCCCUCAGCGGCCCCGGACCCAGGCGCCCGCCGGAGGACCCAAACUCUUGCUUUGCAUUAGUGGCAUUCUCUGAGUCUCACAAACAAAAAAAUAAAUUA
rnacentral:misc_RNA from 1 species